rnacentral:rRNA from 1 species
GUGAGGAAUAUUGCGCAAUGGAGGCAACUCUGACGCAGCCAUGCCGCGUGCAGGAAGAAGGCGCUACGCGUUGUAAACUGCUUUUAACCGGGAAGAAACCCCAGGACGUGUCCUGGGUUGACGGUACCGGAGGAAUAAGCACCGGCUAACUUCGUGCCAGCAGCCGCGGUAAUACGAAGGGUGCAAGCGUUAUCCGGAUUCAUUGGGUUUAAAGGGUGCGUAGGCGAAGCGUUAAGUCAGUGGUGAAAUCCUGCAGCUUAACUGUAGACUUGCCAUUGAUACUGGCGCUCUUGAGUGCGCUUGAAGUGGGCGGAAUGUGCCGUGUAGCGGUGAAAUGCUUAGAUAUGGCACAGAACACCAAUUGCGAAGGCAGCUCACUAAGGCGAUACUGACGCUGAGGCACGAAAACGUGGGGAUCGAACAGGAUUAGAUACCCGUGUAGUCC